rnacentral:rRNA from 1 species
GACGAACGCUGGCGGCGUGCUUAACACAUGCAAGUCGAACGGAAAGGCCCUGCUUUUGUGGGGUGCUCGAGUGGCGAACGGGUGAGUAACACGUGAGUAACCUGCCCUUGACUUUGGGAUAACUUCAGGAAACUGGGGCUAAUACCGGAUAGGAGCUCCUGCUGCAUGGUGGGGGUUGGAAAGUUUCGGCGGUUGGGGAUGGACUCGCGGCUUAUCAGCUUGUUGGUGGGGUAGUGGCUUACCAAGGCUUUGACGGGUAGCCGGCCUGAGAGGGUGACCGGCCAAAUGGGAACGGGGAUACGGCCCAGACUCCUACGGGAGGAAGCGGUGGGGAAAAUGGCAAAAGGGGCGGAGGCCGGAUGCAGAAACGCCGCGUGCGGAAGGACGGCCUUCGGGUGGUAAACCGCUUUCGCCGGUGACGAAGCGGGAGUGACGGAAAGGGGUAAAGAGGCACCGGCUAACUACUU